rnacentral:ncRNA from 2 species
GUGAAGGCUGGAUGAGAGAUCAUUACUGGCGCCGAAGGAGCAAGGGGAACUGAAACUCUCAGGCAAAAAGAAUUCAGCUGGACG